GAGGGUAUAGCUCAGUGGGAGAGAGUAUGCUUUCUGUGUAUGAGGUCCUGGGUUCAAUCCCCAGUGCCUCCA
rnacentral:tRNA from 1 species